rnacentral:lncRNA from 1 species
GAUUCAGAGGAGAACUCACAAACAAGAGGUUGCCUUCUGUCCAGCCCUAGUAUGAGGCUUGCUGUAGGCUGUUAUGUAAGAGAAGGAUGAAGAAGAAAAGCACCUCUCAAGCUAAGAAAACUAAGACGUGGGGAAAUGAAGGUGGAGAUGGUUUUGCUCAGACAAACUUUAUUACCAGCACCAAUGAGGGGAACCGAGAAUUCUGAGCCACUGUAGCUGACAUCACAGAACUCCAGCUGCUCUGUGGACUGUAUCCUUUUCUACCUCUGUCCUUAAAAGCUAUUGGAGCCCUUAUUAAAAAAAAAAAAACUGCUGCUGUGUACUUAGAGAGCAACUCUUAUUUCGAGUGAUUCUUUUACCUGAUAAGGCAUUUGGAUAUUUAUUCCUCUAACUCGACUCCAAUCCCCCUAUCUUUUUCGUGUUUUCCCAGGUAAAGAGGAAAAAUCUCCAAUCCACUCCCAUCUGUUUGCCUCAUCCAGCAGAGCUUCCAGGCCACAGAAGGCUCAAGACUACAAUAUAAUUCCUGAGACUGCCAAGACCUUGGGUGCUGAUGGCUUCUCGUGGAUGAGGAGAAAACAACAGGACCACUGGAUUAGGGCUUGUUACAGCCCAACUCUCCCGCUUCUUGCUUCUUGCUUCUUGCUUCUUACUAAAUAAUGGAUCAAUGACUGCCCGGCAGAAUUAGCCUUUCAAUUGACUUUUGUCUUUCGCCCAUCAUUUUCAAAGCUCAUCUCCCAUGGGGAAGACUGAAAGAAGGAGUCUACACUGAGGGAACAGAAGUCCUCUUGUGGCUUGAGGUUGCUUUAUUCUACUGCCCAAGGAAGGACAACAGGGACCCCUGUGCACUUCGCUUGGUUAUGACAAAAUUUCCAUUCUUCUAGCCUUUGUUUUGUCCCAUGGUAGCCUAUAUAUCAUAUCUAUAGAGCAUAGAGGCAUAAGCCCCCCCUUUGCUGUAAUUGGCCUAAAAGUCUUCACAUGAAGAGCCAUCAGCUCAUAUUUGCAUGCUCCAUUUACUCCAAUAAUGUCUUCCACAUUAUUGUUUUACAAUUAAUUUCAUAAUUAAUAAGGUUGCAAUUUAGAAUCCUUAUAAAAGUACAGGGAGAGGUUUAGAGAUGAAACUGUUCAAAACAGUACCGUAUGUAUUUUAGCUUCACUGGAGCAAAGAGGAAAUUGCCUGUUUCUUCCAGCUUGUUUCAGUGUCCUAGGGCAGGGGCAGAAUGUAAGUGAUCACGAAGUGCUUUUGCUUAUUGCCACUUGGAAACUGGCAAUACUGCUGUGAAGAGAUGAAUAUCAGUUCCAAGCAAGAGGCUGGGUAGUUUCCUUCUGUAAUCCCACACCAGUGUGUGAGUCAGAGUUAGAACCAGAAUCGUUCUAAAGGCGAAUUUGUGCAUCUGAAGCAACCUCAUGUUAUACCCAUUUGGUGAUUCAUGACAGAGAUGGAGUCUCAUUAAUAAGGAUUAUUUAUCCAAAGCCUUACUAAAAGCAUGUGAAACAGCUUUAAGACAGGACCUCAGGUAGCCCAGGCUAUUGUGGAGCUCACUCUGUGGCCAAUCAAGAUCUCCUAAUUUUCCUGUCUCAGCUCCCAAAUGCUGACACUUUAGAUAUGCAACACCAUGUUCAGGUUGAAAAACAAAAUCUUAUUAAAUAAAUUACUUAUGUCGAAAUCUCA